AGUGAACGCUGGCGGUAGGCCUAACACAUGCAAGUCGAACGGCAGCACAGUAAGAGCUUGCUCGUACGGGUGGCGAGUGGCGGAUGGGUGAGGAAUACAUCGGAAUUUACUUUUUCGUGGGGGAGAACGUAGGGAAACUUACGCGAAUACCGCAUACGACCUACGGGUGAAAGCAGGGGAUCUUCGGACCUUGCGGGUUUGAAUGAGGCGAAGCCGGAUGAGCUAGUUGGCGGGGUAAAGGCCCACCAAGGCGACGAUCCGUAGCUCGGCUGAGAGGCUGAUCAGCGACACUAGAACUGAGACACGGUCCAUACUCCUACGGGAGGCCGCAGUCGCGAAUAUUAGGCAACGGUCGCAAGCCUGACCCAGCCCUACCGCGUCUGUUACAAAGACCCUCGGGUUGUAAAGCCCUUUUGUUGGUUAAGAAACGCAGCAGGUUAAUACCCCGCUGUUCUGACGGUACCCAAAGAAUAAGCACCGGCUAACUUCGUG
rnacentral:rRNA from 1 species